AACGAACGCUGGCGGCGUGCCUAACACAUGCAAGUCGAGCGAGAAAGUUCCCUUCGGGGAGCGAGUAAAGCGGCGAACGGGUGAGUAACACGUAGGUAACCUACCCUCGAGUCCGGGAUAACCUGUCGAAAGAUGGGCUAAUACUGGAUACGACUGCGGGAGCGUCAGCUCUUGCGGUGAAAGGUGGCCUCUGCUUGCAAGCUAUCACUCAUGGAUGGGCCUGCGGACCAUUAGCUAGUUGGUGAGGUAACGGCUCACCAAGGCGAAGAUGGUUAGCUGGUCUGAGAGGACGGCCAGCCACACUGGGACUGAAACACGGCCCAGACUCCUACGGGAGGCAGCAGUGAGGAAUAUUGCGCAAUGGGCGAAAGCCUGACGCAGCGACGCC
rnacentral:rRNA from 1 species